UCCCAGUCUAUGCAUCCUGGGCUCUGUCCCUAAGAGGAAGCCAGACCUUUCUGCUCACCAACUCGUCCCCCUGCACCUUCCUGAUUGAAGCCACAUUCCACGUCAUGCCUGUACAUCUUCCCCUCGCCCUUCAGACCCAGCCCUUUUUUCAAAAUGGUCACAGGGUUCAACUCAGCCUAACUGGACACAGGCCUGGUCCCUGCAGCAUCGAAGAAGCCAGGGGUAGCAUCUUUGGCCAAGUCACCCACUGACCCCCACGGCCUGGCAACUUUUGUGCUUCCCACCUGCAUGUCACCUCUGGGGGUCCCUUCCCUCCAAGAACGUUGCCAUCAGGUGGUCUUUCUGAUUUCCUCUGCUUCAGCAAAGGCCUUAUUUUUUACUCAAGAGCCUGGCUUCCUGAUCUGCACAAAAGAGACUCUCCAGAUGUGUCCUGGAAAAUCCCCCAAAAGUAGGGGGAAAGGUCCCAGUCAAAGCCAAAGCAAGGAAGAGGAAAAAGAGGAAGGAGGAAACUGUC
rnacentral:lncRNA from 1 species